AGUGGGCUCAUUGUUCAGUGCUGUUGUCUGUGUGUUGUGUACUGGUCAGUCAGUCUGUGUCUUGGAGUGGUUUCCUGUAUUGAAGAAGUCCAUGUAUUGGAGAACGUUCAUGUAUUAAAGAAUGAAGGCCCUGCUUAAAUCCCCAUUACCCACACACCACUGCCACGAACAUUGCUGCCAUUGAGGAAGACAUCCGACUGCUGCUGCAUGAGGUCAAGCUCUUUGAAAAUGAGCCCCGACCAUAAUCCACGCCUGCCCUCUCUGAGGCCCAGCAAACGUCCCGAAGGUUUCAGCUCCGCUGUUGUACGACAGCAUUACAGCACGGUCACCCGGUUCAACCAGAGCUGAGGUCAACGUAAUGAGAGAAUGGAAAAAGUGAUUGUUCCCCUUUUCUUUCUUUCAUUUAAAGUGUGAUAAAUUCUACAUGGUAUAGAUCAUGAAAUCCAUUGAACAUUAGAAGUCUGUCCACAACAGCCACACUCUCCAGGUCUGUAAACUCAGGUGACAGGUAUUUUUGAUCUUCCAGUUUCCACGGUGAGAAUGAACUCGUAGAUCAGCAUUGUUGUUUUAUACUUGAAAAGAAGGAUUUCCCUCAUUUCCCCUGGGUGUUUGAGCCCAGCUGUUUGUUCGGAGCUUGGUUGAUGUCAAUAUGAGUAUUUCACUGUUUUUUUCCCCAGAUUAUUUUGUUUAUUACAACAGGAGAUAUGAUAUAAUGUAUUAUCCAAAAUAAAAGUCUGACUGAGCUGUAUCCUUUAAUUACUGAUUUUAUUACUGAUGGUCAUCAGGUCACCAUUAACAUUGUUAUACCUAAAAAUGUUCAUUCUGCAACCACAGCCUGUAAAACGUUAUGUCCAGGCAUUUUCUCAGAUAAAAAAAAAAGUCAAUAGAACCAAGAAUCAAAGGUUCUCAAAGAUUUGGCCAAAGAAAUUGUCCAAGUCAAAGGACCUUUGAUAGAAACAUUUGAUAAAGCAGAAAAAUAUGUGAGUCUCAGUCACUGCCAGGCUCCAGCUCCAGUGUUUACACAAUGUACCCUGUGUGAAAACAAUCAAGGGCUCACAUCUACUGAAUGUGUACGGUGAUGACAUCAGUGAGUCGUACAAAAUACCCCUGUUCCCUGUGUGUGCUUAGGCAUGUACUACCCCACUGAUGGGAGACAGCGGGGGCUUAGUGAGGUAGUUAGAGUAGAGGAGGAGGACGGAGGGGGGAGGACGGGGGUGUCUCCGUUUGCCCACCUCACCAGGAGGUCUAGGGACUUCCAACCUGUUUACCACCGCGCCCAUGAAGACAAGGCCUCAUCUCAGUCCUGUCUGUGGUAUCACACAGGAGGUCAAUUCAUUCAGGUUAAAUGUCUGACACACACACACACACACACACACACACACACACACUGGAAGGCAGUGACAGACUUAGAGAACACUGUGUGCCUCUGCAGCUAACUAGAGAUUUUAGAGCGUUGCUACAUAAAAAAAGGGAAAAUGGAGAAACCAUUAAGGUAACAGCCUUGUUGGCACCGGUUGUUUGACUUCCACAUAAAUCAUUAACACAAUCAUUAGCGUGAAAGGAACUUUUUAAUAACCACUAAUUACACUGAUUGGAAAAUAACAUGUUUGUUAUUAUUGGUCACGGCUCUGAGCGCUUAGGUGGAUUGGACUUUAAUGGUUUGCACUUUGCGAGAGCAGGCGAGGAGACGGUGACGUCAGUGUUCCCAAAAACAGCGGGAUUCCUAGGGUGAAAUGUCUUUUUACAUUUAUUUUCUCGAGCCAUUAACGAGACCUUGGUCAUGCCUCUUAAAUGCGCUGUACAAUUUAUUGCAGCGUGUCUACUUUAACACUUAUGACAAAUGUGCAGAAAAUUGGGUGAUUUAUUACAAAUAUCUGACCGUUCUGCAUUUUAUUGCAAAUAAAGGUCCUAUGACUUUUUAAUGACAUUUUCCACAAGACUGAUGAACUAUUAUACCCUUUUACAUGCACUGUAUACAUAAUCCCAUUGCAAAGACACAAAGAUGAGUCAUUCUGAUCUUUUAUUUCACUCUUGAUAUUGGAACAAAUUGUGAAGAAUGUGAAUGACAGGUUAUUAAAGGAAGCGCACAUUUAUUUCAUUUCUUUUUUUUUUUUACUCCAACUUAGUAACUGGUUCAGAUGAGACAUAUUUUAUGUUUUAUGUUCUGGUGUACUCACUGAAGGUGAAUUGUUAUUUUUAUGCUUUGUAAUUGCGUUCCCUACCUGGUGUCCAGUUUUAAAUACCUUGUUGUAGUGACAUACAGGUGUACUCUUCACUGCUGUUGGGCACCCCCCCCCCCUCCUGUUUAUCUCCGUCCCAGCAGGAUGUGGCAGUGCAGAACCAUAUGUUUGCCUGGCAGCAGAGUUGGACUCACUAUUGUUGUGAAUAUUCUUUAAAUACUUCACAGCAAUUUUCACAAACCAACAAAAGCAAACCAACAACCUUAGUCCUGUUGGCAGGAGACUUUGCGGAGGAACGCUGGAGGUCGGAGGAUGACAUCAUGACAUGAUGAAAGAGUCAUUGACAGUGGGGGUAGUUUUACACUUUAACACUUAUUGUACUGUAGGCUCUUCAGUCUUUAACGUUCCAUUAUCUAAAGAAUGGGAGGUAGGAAUUUACUCAAACCCACCACCCCCGAAAAACUGUACCUGCACACAAAAUAAAAUUAGCUUAGCUUACCCAAGCAGACGGUGAGAAAUGCACAUGAAAGCCUUUCUUGUCACACAGAGGUGACAAGAAAGAUCUACAUAACCAAAUAUUAACACACCAUAUAAACUUUGUGUCUACUGGGUUUUCUGAAACAACUGUAAAUAAAAUGGACACAAAUACAGAGAAGAUCGAACCAAACUGCUGUGAAGCCCACUCCAGUGCCUGCUCUCCUCCCCCAGUCCUUCCUACUGUAGGGUCGUGUUGUAGCCUUUACUGGUAGAACUGAAUAAAGGUCUGGUUAGACAGUCAUCGCAAACUUUUUCCACAAAAAGUCUUCAAUGUGUUUUCCAACGGAAAAUAGGAAAGGUUUAGUAGAAAUUCUACACAGAGCCGUGUUCACAUCAUAUUAUUCACUGGCUUUACGGUGUUUUUCUUUUAGGGCCAAAUCGUGCUUCUCUCCUGUGAGAGGUAUGACCAUUGGCUGAGUGCCUGCCAGCACUAAUGCACAUUAAUCACCAGGUCCACCUACAGCAGUGUUUUAAUUUUCAUUUUUUCCCAUUGAUAAGACGGUAAACUCCCAGACAUUCUGUCCGCUUCAGUACUGGCUGUGUAAUUAUUGCCUGAUUUGGAAAUAUUAUCUGUAGAAGUGUUCACCUACAGUGGGCUGUUUUAGGUAAGAGCUAGUAGUGUUUUAGUCAAGUUAUAUUCAGAAGAGAUGACAUAAAUCCCAAAACAUUUCCAUGCCAAGGAACCCCCCAAACAGCACUAGCGUCUGGCUGGAGACACCAUUUGCAAACCCACAGACAGUGCUACAAAAUACACUUUUGGAGUGUAUUCCCUUACUUUUAUUCACUAUUUAAUAAAUAUAUUUUUUCUUCAGCAUAGGAAAAGUAUUAAUGAACAUGUUUCCAGCACUGUAUAUUCCCACUGAAUAACAAACUGUUGGCCUGCUCCUUUGGUCUGUUUCUUGUCAAAAACCUGUGUAGCUAGCUUUUUUCCUAGAUAGUUACACGCUAGCUUGAGGAGCUGAAGUUGCAGCAGUCACAAGAGUUGCGUUCAGGUACUUAAGAAUCUGAUGAUCAUUGGAGUUUUUUGCAUUGUUUUUUAAAACACUAACUAGGCCAAUCUUAAACCUCAAUCAAUUAUUUUUUAUGUACUCACUAAAAAUGUCAAGGUGAAUUCUGCGAGAGUCAUUUAAUGAUUUAAAUAUUUACCCUGCAUAUUUAAGGACACAAAUUGAGGCUCUUAAUGUACUGUCAACAGAGGUAAACCAGUUCAGGGAGCCACUGAGUGAAAAAGUGUUUCCAUCUUAAAUGAUUCUGGAGCAGUGUGAUGUUGUGAUUCCUCGGUGAUGAUUCACAGCUUCGGAAAAAAGUUUCCCUCUGUGGCAACGGGACUAAUUUCCAAUUUCCACUAAGUAACAUGAACAUUUGUGCUUUUUUAAUUGUGGUAUUUUGGAUAUUUUUCUAAGGAAAUUAUACGGCAAAUUUAGCAAUUUUGAUACAUGUAAAAAGACCCUCUAUUAUAGAUAAUAACACACUCCGUGUAUGACAAAUGACUGAGACUUUGCCCUACAAAUACACCCCCCCCCCACCAACCAAAAGUCUGACACGUUAAAAAUAGAUAAAUCUUCAACUUACAAACACACUGUAAAAAAUUGUGAAGUAUUCACUAAAGGUUCCAUGGGUAAUCACACCUGGGUAUUUUGACUGAAAAAUAUCAGUGACGGCAAAACUGAAGUCCGUAUUAUUUAUAUAUUUCUUUGAUGGAACCUCCUUUCUGAUCAUUGAAACAUAUCAGUGAAACAUGUAGAUCAGUCAAUGAUUAUUUUUGCACAAAUGUAUUUCUUUUCAUCUCGUCAAUGUUGUUUAUUGCUUUACUUGUCUCAUCAAAUGAUCCCAUAACAUGUACAAGUUGUUCUGGUGACAGAUGUUGGGCCGAACUAUUGUCUUCUUUAACUGAAUAUUCUAAAAUGUUCCAUAUCACCCAGAUCUUUGGGUCUUUACUCCGGCUGCUGGUAACAUUCCAAACUGAAACCCAGAUCAUUCUUUAAGCUUUAAAUGAACUGUGUUCCGCAAAAGCAUGCACACACACACACACACACACACACACACACACGGGUGCGCACUUACAUUCCUUCCAAAACUACUGUGAAAGCUGCCUAAUAGGUUUGAUAAUGCAGACUUCCUGUUGACAACUAGAGGCUGUCUAACAAUAAAAAUGGAUGAGCCACUGUUGUUCUCUCUGUAAAUAAUAGAACAGUCAUAAUCCAUCCAUCCCCAUAACCAGAGGUUCUUUUCCCUUUUCCAGUCAGGCAGACAGUAUCUGUGUUUCAUCUCAGGUACCACCUCCUCCUUCAAAGGGUUCAUUUGAAGGCUGAUUACAUUACAGUAGUGUGACUCGCCUGCAGUCCCAUUUGUGUCCUUCUGUCUGACAGGUGGGUCCGCCCUGACCCAAUCUAUCCCACAAUUCAUAGUGCCCUGGAGACAUGAUGGUGGCCAGGAACAACAGGAAAAUAUCUGAAGAAGACACGUUUUAACAAAAAGAAGAGCCGUGAAAGCAAAUCAGUAUCAAGGCCGCUCAGUUCCCACAGCGUCUGUAACACUUAAGUGCCUGGACCGUCACCAAACUCUUGUAACUGUUCUCCUCGGGUCAUAACCUACAUCUUCUGAAAAAUUCAUCAACGUCCGUGCUUUUGUUUUGUACUCUUUACAGACAAAUUUGGCCAAAAACAUGAUUGCUUGAAGAUAUACCAGAGGCUGAACGAGACGAGGAGCCAAAAGAGACAUGGUUAAAAAGGAAUGCUUUAAAUGUGCUUUGAUUAGCACUGCACAUUUUCAAGCAGCAGUUCUGAGUGUUGCCCGUAUGAGGACAGCUCUUUCUAGUCGUUAUGCUCUAUGAUCGUUAUGAACAUGUCAUGUUCACUUUGAGUUUUUUUGUUUUGUUACUGUGGUUACUAGUUUUUGUUGGUUUAUCUUUCUGUCAAAGUAUAACAAGUUUGCAGAACUAUUUUUCCAGCUCUGAUGCUUUCCCACCUCCUCUCUUGUAAUCGUCUCAAAUUUGAACUUUUUAUU